rnacentral:rRNA from 1 species
AUUGAACGCUGGCGGCAGGCCUAACACAUGCAAGUCGGGCGAGUGGCGGACGGGUGAGUAAUGUAUGGGGAUCUGCCUGAUGGAGGGGGAUAACUACUGGAAACGGUAGCUAAUACCGCAUACCAUCAGAUGAACCCAUAUGGGAUUAGCUUGUAGGUAAGGUAAAGGCUUACCUAGGCGACGAUCCCUAGCUGGUCGAAGAGGAUGAUCAGCCAACCUGGAAUUGAGCAACGGCCCAGACUCCUACGGGAGGCAGCAGUGGGUAAUAUUGCACAAUGGGCGCAAGCCUGAUGCAGCCAUGCCGCGUGUAUGAAGAAGGCCUUCGGGUUGUAAAGUACUUUCAGUCGGGAGGCGUUACCGACAGAAGAAGCACCGGCUAACUCCGUGCCAGCAGCCGCGGUAAUAC